UGAAGGGCAUCGAGGACGGUCGCGGGGAGGUGCCGCCGCUCCGACCCUCCGCCUCUGCCCCGCCCCGACUGCGGCCCCUCUGUGCAUUCUUGGGGGGGUUGAGGGGCUGACUGUGCCCAGCUCAGGCACUGGGGCUCUGCCAACUGACAGCGCAGGGGGCAGGCUGCGACCGGGAGCAGCCGUUUUGAUUGCGUCGCCUCUGGAUCUCCAAUCACGGAAUGCACAUGGUCCCCGGAGUGCCAACGCCUCAGGACGCUGCUCCUUUGGGAACGAAAUGUGUGCUAUGCCAGCCCUCCUGUCUGUCCUCACGCUGGGCCUGCCACUAUGCUAUUUGUGGCAAUGAGCGCCCAGGACAGCCUACUAGGGAAAGGAAACUUUCACCGCACAUCUCCUCCUUACCCUGGGAACUGGAGACCAGACCCUACAGGCACAUUCAGGAAUGCCUCUUAAACCCACCCUUGCUAAUCAGCCUCAUACCUGUGGUGAACUUUGUCCCACCUGCCAGACACCCACAGAACAUUCCCUACUUGCCUACUGGCAAACCCUCUUUUCCUUGCACACACUGGCCGGGAAAUAGCUACUAUUUGCAUUAUGCUUCGAAGCUUGGAAAACUGAGACCACGGCACGGAGAUGGUUGAAUGGGCAAAGGUGCUUGCUGCCAAUCCUGAUGACCUGAAUUCCAUCCUGGGGACUCACAUGAUAGAAGAACCAACUCCUGCAAGUUGUACUCUGACCUCUACAUGCACGCACACACACACACACACACAUCAGCCACUCUCCCACAUACAAUAAACACAUGGAAAAAUUAAAAGACCUUGCAAAGUGACCUGUCUAUAUGAUUUCCUGGAGGGCCCAGGAGAUAUUCGAAGACAACAUUAUUCCAUUGACCUACCAGUGGCAGCAUUGUGCUAGGCAGCCUGUAUAGAACAGUGAGCAACGACGGCCGGAGGCUGCUCACAAUAAGUAGCUGUAUCCCCAGAGCACAUUCUCCCUAAUGUUCCAGGUGGCCGGGGUAGCCAUUGAAAAGAGAGUGCUUGGUUACCUGGUGUACAGCAGGUCCCGAGCUUCAAAGACCAGAGUCCACACGCGGGAGUGUUGCCUUCUUUUUCAGUGUUCUGCUGUUAACCCAGUUCUACCAGACGUUUGGAAUAACCUGGAGAGAAUGGCUCGGAAUGAGAGGGGCCAGCAUCAUAGCUGUUGAACACAGAGAACACAGAAGAAUAACAGUUGGGAUUCUUGGAGCUCCCAAGGUUUCAAGAUGAGAAAACAUGGGGAACCUCCCAAGGCCUCUGAGGGUCACUGGCUUGCCCUCUGCUGAUCUGCAAAGCCUCCUAUCAUAUGUCAUCUGCCAGGUUAGUGGCCUCUGAUCUCCUGGAAGCGUGCCUUCAAUCAGGUGGUGGAAGUCCAUCAGGGCAGGAGAAGUAAGUAUUUGCUGAUGGAAAAAUAGGAAGCUGCUUGCUGGUGGCCCGAGGUGGACUUGAGUGAAGAUCAACCCUGGUAUGUCCUUGGAUGCCACCCUAGGACUGGCAUUCACCCUCCAGGAAACAAAGUGUGUUCACCAUAGACAUGAGACUCACAGUAGCUCUGGAAGGCAGUUCCACCUACCCCCUACUUCACAGAUGAGGAAAUCAAGGGCAGAAGCCACCUGGAGGGAGUGAGGAUGCUCUCAGACCUCAUAUCCAGUCUGUGAUCUGGUACAGAGGGCAACUGCUGGCUUGACACCUCAGGCUCUGGCAGACAUAGGAGCCUGGUGCUAUGGACAGCCCUGGCUCUAAGAUUCUUGGGGUUGGCAUCAGACGAUUCAAAAGCCAUGGGAAGAAGGAGAGACAGGCUCAAGGAAGGAGACUGUGGAAGUGAUAUGAAGUGGGCAGAGAUGGGUGGGGCCCUGCCCAGGAAGCUGAGGAGGCCAAGGGGGAGUACGGAGGUCUGACAUUUGUCCUGAGGUCUAUGGGAAGCCUGGUUUUAAGCUGGGCUACAAUCCCAUCCAAACAACAGUUGGGAUGAGAGCUAUGUCAAAUACCGGCUGUCACCUGUGCAGAGGUGGUGGGCAAAGCUAUAAAUGCACUGGAGGUCUGCAGGAUCUGGAAUCUUCUGCUCGGAAACUGCUGCUUCAUGGCACACUACCCUUUUUGAUAAUUAACCUGUCUCCAAACCUAAGUUUACAGACUGCCUUUGCUCACCGUGGGUCAGAUGUCUGUCUUUGUAUAUCUUGGAAGGUCAAAGCACCCUGCUUACAGUAACUCUGCUCUUUGCCUCUCUCCCCCUUCCCCCCACAGUACACAGAUACUCUCCUUGUGGAUACAUGUGACUAUAUCCCCAGUGGGCUAUGCCUCUGGGCACUGGGUCAUGGGUGCCUUUUAUCCAAUCCAGAGCACAGUCUUGCAGAGUGACCCACUGAGUACUGUGAGGGUCUCAGUGUAGAGUCAAGAGGACAGAUUCAAUUCCCAAAGGAUGUUUGUUCUGAGAUAGACCAGAGGUAGGCCCAUAAGCUUCAUGGGUGUGAGUGAAUAAGGCUCAGUAUAGUAGAGAUAAGGCAUGAUGUGUCGGUUACAAGUGCAUGCCAGAUGGGGUAGCUCCUGCCUUUGGUAGGACCCCAGCAUUUGGUAGGAAGAGGAAGGUGGAUUUCUGUGAGUUUGAGGCUAGCCUGGUCCACAAGCAAGUUCCAGGACAGCUAUGGCCUUCUACAUAACAGAAAAGACACAGCUUCAGAACAAAACAAAAUGUGCUUUCUCUGUUUUUAAGAACCCGUGGUCAAAUUCAAUCUGAAAAUACUAAAUGGAAUAAACAUUUCAUAUAUUUUCAAGUAA